UUUCUACUUUGCCUUCAUCGUAACAUAAGGCCCUUUGGGAUAUGAGAGACCGUCCCAACGUUGAUGUGGACCAACAGAUUCUCUCUCAGCUAUCGGACUACAGUUGGAAGCAGCUUUUCUGCUCUUGCCUGCACUGUUUAAGGAGGACCCGGGGUUGCUGUUUGAAGUUGAGGGACAUGCUCAGACCUGCCCUCCUGACACACCAACACCUAAAAUGGUGCUCAAAGGCAGCAGGGAGGGUCA